AUUGAACGCUGGCGGCAUGCCUUACACAUGCAAGUCGAACGGCAGCGGACCUUCGGGUGCCGGCGAGUGGCGAACAGGUGAGUAAUGCAUCGGAACGUACCUUUCAGUGGGGGAUAACGUAGCGAAAGUUACGCUAAUACCGCAUAUUCUGUGAGCAGGAAAGCAGGGGAUCGCAAGACCUUGCGCUGAUUGAGCGGCCGAUGUCAGAUUAGCUAGUUGGUGAGGUAAAGGCUCACCAAGGCGACGAUCCGUAGCGGGUCUGAGAGGAUGAUCCGCCACCAUGGAACUGAGAGACGGUCCAGACUCCUACGGGAGGCAGCAGUGGGGAAUUUUGGACAAUGGGGGCAACCCUGAUCCAGCCAUGCCGCGUGAGUGAAGAAGGCCUUCGGGUUGUAAAGCUCUUUCGGCCGGGAAGAAAUCGCACGGGCUAAUACCCUGUGUGGAUGACGGUACCGGAAUAAGAAGCACCGGCUAACUACGUGCCAGCAGCCGCAGUAACAC
rnacentral:rRNA from 1 species